ACAAGAAUAAAGCAAAUAAAUGGAUCAAGAAUUUUAUUAAUGAAUGACGAGAUCAACAAAAUAAUUAACUCAUAAAACAGAACAAAACACAAAACAACCAAAAAUUAAAUAAACAAAAACUCAAAACAAACAUUUAUGUGAAAAAAACAACAGUAAUAAGCAAAUAAAUAAAAAUAAAAUAAAUAACCGACGUGGGAGUAGGCUAGUUGGAAGCCGAUCGAGUGUAGUGCAGUGGAUAUAUUAAUCGCUCUUUAAUCUUCGUUAUUUCACCUCAAACGGAACUGUCACCCUAACCACGGAGUCCUGGAGAUUGUGUUCUGCAUUGCCAGCCGGCACAAGCGGUGACAGGCAAGGCAUGUGAGGUGUCUCACAGCUUUACUAACUUAUGCAGGAUGAGAGUACAGGCUGCAGGCACAGACUGUUUGACGAGGCAGUUAUCGCCACAGCACUUAGGGAAGUACUGAAGGGCCUUGAGUAUUUCCACAACAACGGACAAAUCCACAGGUAUCACCCGGAGGCAGAGUCUGCGUGCCGAGGACGGCAUUGUUUACCCAUCAGUGAAUAGCUCCUGGUGACCUAUGGUAAAGCACAACAACAAAACUGUAAGCAUCCAAAAUUAGUCAAUGAUGGGUUGCGUGAAGCCUGAUGGAGUCGUCAGUUAUGGAUGCUGCUUCCGUGGCAGCUGGACCAGCACUGGUGUUGGAUGUGUAUGAACAGCUACACAAGCGUCUCAGCUGCUGUGAGAUGUAUGAUGACUGUGUUCUAGCACAUGAUGGAUAUGCAACUCAAAUAUAUCCACAUUUUUUCCAUAUGUGCUUUUCACCUGCAUUUUUGCUGUAUAGAUUUCUUUUGUGGUGACUACAGUCGGCUCGCCACUAAUGUGCAGUAUUCUGAUGCAAAUCACGUAUACUGCCUGGGAUCAGCUUGCUUGCGAGUCGUACCCUAACGGAAUUUAAAGCCUACUGCAUGGAUGGUCCGCAACAAAUUGUAAAAAUGUCUGUAACACUGAUAUCGAGGUAGCAAGUGCAGUUCCAAUCCCAACAUCACUAGCACUAUACACAGUGAUGCAAGUUUGGUGAGAAGAAUGAGCUGUAACUGCUGCAGCUGCCACCAUUGAUAGUGACAUCAACAGUGAGCAUUCAUCAGCUGUUUGUGUAAACAGUGGCUCAGUGUGGUCUUUUAAUGAAUGUUUGUGUACUGUAUAAGUCUUAAUUCAUUAUUUAAAAAAAUAUUUUUACAA